GGCACAGGGGAGGCCCUGAGUCACACGAUGGUGAUGCCCAGGGCAGAAGAUGUCAGAAGACAGGCAGUUUGACAGUGCUUCUGAAGGUCGUGAAAAAGCCAGGGGUGAGUCUGUAAAGUCCCUGCUGGCCAUGAUGAUGUCCCUGACAGCUGGGGAUCCUGGCGAGAACAGCAUUCAGAACUUGGGAUUUUCCUUGCAGAUCACAAUGGUUGGCUGACUCAGGGGAAAGGGGGAGCUUUGCAGAGAGCCUCAAACAUCUCCAGCUGAGCUGCACCUGUCAGGGCCCCUGAGCCAUCCAGGAAGAAGGAGGCACUGAGGUGGGGAACGGGGUCCUGGCCUGGGGUCAGCAGCCUGGGCUCUGGUUCCAGUUCCGCACCCCCCCUUGCCCCCCAGAACUACCUGUAUGGCAAGCUCCUUUCCCUUCCUGUGCCUCAGUUUCCUCCUCUGUAAAAUCAGUUUAGACUACACUGCAAGGUUGUCCAGCCCGCAGUCAGUGGGCUGCAUGCCAGCCAGGACAGCUUUGAAUGUGGCCCAACACAAAUUCGUAAACCUUCUUAAAACAUUAUGAAA
rnacentral:lncRNA from 10 species